GCCAUGGAUAGCUCGGUUGGUUAGAGCGUGGCGCUGAUAAUGCCAAGGUUGCAAGUUCAAUUCCCACAUUGGACA